AUUGAACGCUAGCGGCAGGCCUAACACAUGCAAGUCGAGGGGUAGUUGUCUUCGGACAAUGAGACCGGCGCACGGGUGCGUAACGCGUAUGCAAUCUACCUUAUACUAAGGGAUAGCCCAGAGAAAUUUGGAUUAAUACCUUAUAGUUAAUAGAGUUGGCAUCGACUUUAUUAUAAAGAUUAAUUGGUAAAAGAUGAGCAUGCGUCCCAUUAGUUAGUUGGUAAGGUAACGGCUUACCAAGACGAUGAUGGGUAGGGGUCCUGAGAGGGAGAUCCCCCACACUGGUACUGAGACACGGACCAGACUCCUACGGGAGGCAGCAGUGAGGAAUAUUGGUCAAUGGGCGCAAGCCUGAACCAGCCAUGCCGCGUGCAGGAUGAAGCAUCUAUGGUGUGUAAACUGCUUUUGUACGGGAAGAAAAAAAGCUACGUGUAGCUUACUGACGGUACCGUAAGAAUGAGGAUCGGCUAACUCCGUGCCAGCCGCCGCAGUAA
rnacentral:rRNA from 1 species